AGUGAACGCUGGCGGUAGGCCUAACACAUGCAAGUCGAACGGCAGCACAGUAAGAGCUUGCUCUUACGGGUGGCGAGUGGCGGACGGGGGAGGAAUACAUCGGAAUCUACUUUUUCGUGGGGGAUAACGUAGGGAAACUUACGCUAAUACCGCAUACGACCUACGGGUGAAAGCAGGGGAUCUUCGGACCUUGCGCGAUUGAAUGAGCCGAUGGCGGAUUAGCUAGUUGGCGGGGUAAAGGCCCACCAAGGCGACGAUCCGUAGCUGGUCUGAGAGGAUGAUCAGCCACACUGGAACUGAGACACGGUCCAGACUCCUACGGGAGGCAGCAGUGGGGAAUAUUGGACAAUGGGCGCAAGCCUGAUCCAGCCAUACCGCGUGGGUGAAGAAGGCCUUCGGGUUGUAAAGCCCUUUUGUUGGGAAAGAAAAGCAGCAGGUUAAUACCCCGCUGUUCUGACGGUACCCAAAGAAUAAGCACCGGCUAACUUCGUG
rnacentral:rRNA from 1 species